UGUAAAUUAGUGUAAAAGCACAUAAAUCUUUGAUAUUUAUAGAUAAGUUUAAAUCUUAAUUUUACAA
rnacentral:tRNA from 1 species